CUACGGACUUGAUUGUAUUGAGCCUUGGUAUGGAAACCUGCUAAGUGGUAACUUCCAAAUUCAGAGAAACCCUGGAAUUAAAAAAGGCCAAUCCUGAGCCAAAUCCGUGUUUUGAGAAAACAAGGGGUUCUCGAACUAGAAUACAAAGGAAAAGGAUAGGUGCAGAGACUCAAUGGAAGUUGUUCUAACGAAUCAAGUUAAUUACGUUGUGUUGUUAGUGGAAUUCCUUCUAGUUCUAAAUUAGAGAAAGAGGG
rnacentral:ncRNA from 1 species